rnacentral:rRNA from 1 species
ACACUCCUACGGGAGGCAGCAGUGGGGAAUUUUGGACAAUGGGCGCAAGCCUGAUCCAGCCAUGCCGCGUGCGGGAAGAAGGCCUUCGGGUUGUAAACCGCUUUUGUCAGGGAAGAAAAGGUUCUGGCUAAUACCUGGGACUCAUGACGGUACCUGAAGAAUAAGCACCGGCUAACUACGUGCCAGCAGCCGCGGUAAUACGUAGGGUGCAAGCGUUAAUCGGAAUUACUGGGCGUAAAGCGUGCGCAGGCGGUUAUGCAAGACAGAGGUGAAAUCCCCGGGCUCAACCUGGGAACUGCCUUUGUGACUGCAUGGCUAGAGUACGGUAGAGGGGGAUGGAAUUCCGCGUGUAGCAGUGAAAUGCGUAGAUAUGCGGAGGAACACCGAUGGCGAAGGCAAUCCCCUGGACCUGUACUGACGCUCAUGCACGAAAGCGUGGGGAGCAAACAGGAUUAGAAACCCUGGUAGUCCCAUGAU